rnacentral:lncRNA from 1 species
UGUGUUGUUCAGCUCCACCAUCAGCCAUGCAGCUGUCCCUGGGUGUAAAGAGGCCUUUCUGACCUGAUCCUACCAUGCCAUGGACCCUUUGAUUGUUCACCUGGAGCAGUAACAGCUAGCCAUUAAACAGCAUUUAAUGGCCAUGGCCAGAGACUCCAUGUAUGGGACUGUGCUGGCAUCGCUUUAGGAAGGGGAGGGGAUUGGCUACUGGGGUUGACUAGCUCAAAGCAACACAGAUAUAACGAAAAAACCUGUGUUAUAUCACAUGUUCAUCUACUGCCUGCAUUCCACCUCCUGCCGCAGGCGCUGCCGCUUCCCUGCAUGCCCCGGGAACUGCGGACUGUUCAGGUGCUGUGGGGCUACAAGGACAAUCUGAUCUGCUUCAGCUUCUUCUAUGCUCUUUGCUGGGUCACUUCUUAGGAAGAAGGUGGGUCAUCCCAUAUGAUUUCUUUCCCCUCCCUGCCUUGGCCACCAUGUCCACCCUGGGAAGGUGAUUGCCAUGGCCCAGAAUGACGUUUCUCCCUCUUAGCAAAGUGAGCUUGCAGCGCUGAGCCCCUCUCCCCAGACUGAGUGCUGUCAAAAUUGCUGCAUUCCAAAGGAGCCUCAUUCUACAGGUAUUUCCUUUCUGCUCUGCUAUGUGUCUGUGUAUCAGUUAGGAGGCUGAGAACAGCUGAGCAUCAGCGAUCUCCUUGUGCUGUGUUCCAUCCUGCGGCUCGUCGCUCCAUCACUGAGGUACAUUAUCCUACUCUCUAAACCAAGCAUGUGCCCAGGAGAUAAACCAAUUGUUUUUUUGUGCUGCUUUCUAUUUAGAUCCAUAGGCUUCAUUUCAGCUCUUUGGCAAUGCUUCUUCUAACCUUGCUGCAAGAAGUCCUUGUGGCCAAUGCAUCCUCCCUAACGAGGCUGACGGGCUGCUGGCGAAAGGUGCCAGAGGAUGGAAGCUGGCAUGCUGAGGGCUUCUGUCCUGCGGUGCAGGCUGCUGGGAUCUGCCUUCCAUUGUGCUACUGAAACAUCAUCAAAGCCAGGAAAUGGGAGUGCCAUUCCAGUGAAAACCUUUGCAGUGCUGCAGCAGAGAGCCUUAAAUUCAAAGCAGUACUUUAAAAAUCAGAACUAGAAGGCGCUGCAUUAGGCCAGUGAAUGAUUCCAGCUUACACUGCCCACACAUUUGGGAAGGCUGCUUCAUCACUUCACUGCUACAUUUGUCACCUGACACCUGAGGACAGGUCACUGGAUCACAGUUCCUUACUGCCCUGCAGCUGGGGAAGGAGUUUGCAGCCCUUCUGCUGAGAAGACAGGGCUGGGUCUGCAGCCAUUAAAAGGAGCAGAAGAAGAUUUCCUCGAAUUCCUGCAUUGCUGUGAGCUGACACAAGGGCACGGCGCUCCACGCAGCAACCACCAGAUGUGCAGUGCAGGGUGUGUGUCGUGGAGCUAAUUUGGUUGUUGCCUAGAGAGCAAGGAGUUAAAGAGCAAAUGGUUUGCAGAUAGGUGUCUGGAGAAAAUCCUGAGCAGCACUGUUCCUUGGAUGAUUCACUUGCACAUUCCUGCUGCAGUAACCAGAAGCUGAAGGAGCUGAGCUCAUAGGCUGAGUCUGCCUGUGCACCCUAUGGUAGUUUGCACGGUAUGGAUUUGCUAAUGAGGGAGGGCCACAGUGAUCAUUACUUAUGCAGCAUCUCAGGAAAGAUUAAUGGCUGUAUAUCUGGCUCUUCUCAUAGCCCAUAAAUCUUCACUGCAGUUAAUGAGUCUUUAUUGAUUCUGUCAGGUAGGGUAAUUUCCAUUUCUUUCAUCAAGGCACGUUAAAUACACGCUUAUCUACUUUUCUUUUCUUAUUAUUAUUUGUUUCCAGUUAUCUCUUCGCUUGUCUAAUCAAGUCUGGAAAAAAUAAUUGUCAUUAAUUCACUGACCUGAACCUGGGCCGAGCUGUUCUGUGCACUGGCUGAAUGUGACAACUAAUCCAACAGAAAUAUGCAUUAUAUUCCCCUACAUUGCCACCUUGAAACGUCCCGGCACUGCCUCCCUGCAGUACUGGUGCUGCCACAGGGACAGGGACACGAGCUGAAGUCUCCAUGAAGUCCUGUAUGGAACAAAGGCCAGAAGGAAGUCAUGAUUUCAGUGUGUCUACUGUACUGGAAGGAAAAACAGAACAAACAGAUCCUCCUUGAAACUCUUCCCACAACCAAACUUUUAAUGUUUUUAUGAGAGAUCUGCACAUGUAUUCACAUUUAUCAGCAUAUGCAAAUCUCCCACUGAAGGGAAGCAGGCUGUGUCAGAGCAGUGGAGGUAGAAGCUGACAGUAGAUCUCUACAGCUGUCAAAACAACGGCCUGGUAGAAUGCAGCCAUCAAAACACGAGUCUUGUGUGCACAUCUCAGACUUGGCUGUUCAAUCUCUUGCACCAGAAGCUCCUAUGGCAAAUGUUUUUGAAACACGGAUGAUCCGAGUGCAUCAGAAAGAAAGCAAUAGCUGUGACAUCUUGGUCUCCAUCCUCAAAAGGCACUGGGAAUUCCAAACAAUCUAGUAAUUGGAAUUCAUAGCUAGUUUCUGUAUGAAAAGUCAGCUGUAGAAAAUAGUGUGUUUGAAAGUAUCCCCUACUCCAUACAUCAGCAUGUAACCCGGAAGCUUUCCUUCCUUGCAGUUCCCUUUGGGUUGCUUUUCCCAGUAAGAGGUCCUACCCCCUUUUUGACCAGAGGCUCUUGUGGUAAAGGGGAGCGCUGUGGGACUUCCAAGCUGGAGUGGAGGGAGAAGCGGGUAGUGAGGCAAUGCUGUGCUAUUGGAAGUUGUGCUGUUGUAAACCAUGGGAACAGCUGACCUGAGGAAUCUGCGAGAAACAAUCCUCUAUCGUCAGACACUGAAUAAUCUAAUGACUUAUUUCAGUUUCUUAAAAAUUGCCUUUUCAUCAGUUGAAAGUUGCAAAUUGCUGGUUUAAUGAGUCCCAAGCAGAGAAAAUAGAAGUAAAAAUAUAUGCAUCUUAUCUAAUAAAUGCUGAGCACUAGACAGGCAUGACUAAAGCAAACUAACCUGCAGAUUUUAAAUCUCUUAGGAUCUGUUGCAGACAGCUUGGUUCAAAACAGCCAACGAAAGAACAGAGCUGCAGCAGGUCUGCCUCGGCACCACUUGCUGCAGCUCCUGGAGGAGCAGCGUUGCAUUUUCUGUUUGGUAAACUGCUGACAGUGCUAACAGUACCAUCUUUGAAACAGCAAACUGAGCAUGUGCCAUCCCUUUGAAGGACACAUGCUGAAAUGCAGGAUGAGUAGUUCCAGAUAAGCCAGCACAGUAUGUCAGUACCUUCAGCGUGUUGCACAAACUUGCUGAUAGGGGACAAAACAAAAACCACAGAAACAAAAGCAGCUCAACAUAUUGUUCUGGUGAAAUGAGAACUCUCUCCCCAGUGUCUGUAUGCUUUGUUUAAUGGAUCAUGGGAGCCUCAGGAUUCACCAGUGUCUCACGAAGCUGCACCAGGCGAUGGCAGAUGGCAGCAGGAGCACGCGGUGCAAGAAUGCGCCCUUCUCUUAAAUGCAGCAUGAGGGUGGAGGCCCUGGGCUUCUUUCCACGCAUGACUCAAAUGAAUCUUCUGCCUAAUGAGUAGCAUUUUGAAGUCAGCUUAAAAAUCCUAUAGUGAUCCUAUCUAACCAGCUUCUCCUACGUAAAGAUUAAUUUUUUAUAAUGGUGGUUUUCUUUCCAGUUGCCCAGGGCAGUUAUUUGCUAGGGCAGCCUCCUAUCAGCUGAGAUAACAAGGGCAAAGACUGACAGUCCAGCAGAGUCUGGGUUGUGCUCAUUUCUGGGGGAGCAGCGGAUACUAUUAAUGGUGUUCAGGCCUAAAUGGAACCAAGUGUCUCAUUGGGAAAAUAUGUUGGGGAGAAAGGGCUGUGCUAGGGGGCUGCAUACCCAGAUUGUGCUCCUGUUGGAUGACUGGCUGAUAAAACCAGCACUCCUAUAUAACCUUGCAAAAGUCAUUAAUGAAGCUUCAGUGCCUCACAGUGAUGGUGGUGCUCCCAGCUGAUGGAGACAUGCUGGAGCAAGCUGCAGUAACAGUGUCUGACUGGCAGUCUUCCCUGCUGGGUGCUGCUGUCAGGAAGGCACAGUAGAGACUACGUAGGCAUAUUGAAAUAGGGUAUGAGAUCAAAUCAUCUAAAAGAUCUGCAAGGACCCUUGUUGUCUUCUUCCUUGCAGUUUGCAAAUUGCUGCUGUAUACUGAUUUUAUCUGAUUUCAAAUGUAGCUUAAGAGACUGUUUGGUAGGCAAGAGCAUCUCUAAACUAGUGGUGAGCCUUUGGGGGCUGUGUGGCAGGUGACACAGGCUGGAGGUUUCCAUAAGUAUAGGAUCCAGUUGGCAGCAUAGGCUGGUGCCCUUGGAGGUGGUAUUGCUGCAAUGGGCGAUCUGUGUCCUCAGCUGAGCACUGGCACAGAACUAGCUGUGGAUGGCAGAGCCUCGAUUUCUUCUUCCAAGUAGCAAUGGGCUGCAAAAAUUAACAUGAGUAAAAUCCAUCUCCAUCCUAGGAACAUGUAAACAUCUGGACGAGUAGUUAUGAAGAUUAAUGUUAUGCACAGGGUAAGAAUUCCCACUGACAUUUGCUCAGUUUGCCCAAGCAAGUUAGUGGAAACCUCCUGUGAAUAUGAACCGUACUCUGCAGUGCUGCGCAGGCAUUUAACAGCUUGGAUGCCAGUCUCCUUACAGGCACAUCAGUAAGUCUUAGUCUUUAAUUGCCUUAAAAUAUAAUAUUGGAAGAAAAAAAAAGUCAUAGAGGUAUGUGUAACUUUUAAGACUAAGUGGAAAAGAAGUAAACAACAAUAAAGUUAUCCCCAUCUUUGGACUUAAAAUCAGUCCUGACUGAGGCAGUUCUUCAAGGAGAGUGGGUGACAGCUGUCUGUCAGGUCUGAGCAACACGUCUUCUGCACUGAUGAUCAAUGCCUGAAAUAACGCUGAGGUGCAGCAGUAGCUGUGUAUCAUUCAUAGGAGGGUGGCAGCUGCUCCAAGUACAGCACUGAGCGUGAAUGCCUGCUGUCUCGUGGUCAGUGGUUACUGCUGUGCCUGAAGCCUGGCUGUGCCUGUGGUCAGAUGCUCUGACAUCAAAGGUACUGUUGGCUCCUUUGGGCUGGUGAACUUUAUUGAAAGCAUGCCAUGUUUGGAGUCCCAUGAGCAGGUAACGUGCAUCCAUCUGAGCGUGCAGGUUUGAACGUGUCUGCCAUAAGGUAUUUGAAUCUGGAGGCAAUGUGAUUCUUGCUAUGCAAUAAAAUCAAGAAUACACAGUCUUUUAGUGUCUAAACCCCUCCCAGUCCUCCCCUAUUCUGAACGUACUGUUAUCAUUACACCGAUACUUGCUGUGUAAUACACUUUAAAUGAGUGUGAAUGUGCUAUGGACUAAUGUGGUUAUCUCCAUAUGGCAGGAAGUUGCUUGGUCGGAGGUCAUCUCCAUACUGGUGUAAUUCCAGGCAUGUUGCUGGUUUUAAUAAUAUAAUGACGAUAAUUGAUGUUCUAAAACUGGUAAGGUCAGUGUUCACUGGCUGCUACAUUUACUUGGCAGCCAGCUCAGCAGUAUUAACACGAAAUGAGGCACAAAUCCCACGUCCUGCUCCCAGGCCUGAUAGCAGAAUGGGCGCUCCAAUGAAUCGCAGUGCUGUUUACUCCUUUGGCACUCCUUUCUUGCUGACCUCUGCCCAGGUGUGCCAUGCAGCAGGGUAAGACGGGGUGAAGCCAGGGCCAACCUGAAAAGCCCUCACGUGGCAGUUUUGCCAUGACGAGUUAAUCACAGCAUUUGCUGGUAUUAUUCCAGACUUUUUUUUCCCCCUUUGGAUGUGUGCAGGUUCACAGAGUAAAGGCAGGACGACUGUUGAAUGUGUAUUAAUGGCUAUAAGAAAUAUAGGUCCCAGUUUGCCAGUUGUUCUGCCAGGUUCUCAGACAGGAAUGUUUAGGGAGCUUUUUCUCGGCAUGGUGCAAAGCCUGCAGCUAAGAAAAGAGCCCAGGGAAGAUAAUCUGCCUUUUUCCAUGUUCAGCAUUUCCCACCCGGUGUGAACCUAAAUCAUGUGGAUUUCACUACUGGCUCUGCAAUGUUACGGGGAGAUAAGGCGGUAACAACUCAUUUGUAUCCCCAGAUGAGAUAAACCAGAAGCACAUCUCCCCGUUUGUGAGUGGCUUCCUAUCAGAGGUGAGAAUAACUGCGCGGCACUAAGCUGGCAGUCAGCAGUGAUUAAUAAUAGUAAAUCUUUUGCAUAAAUAGAAAGGUGUCAUUGUGUGUAUUUCACUUACAGUGUUUCUAAUGUGUGUCUGUAAUUAAAUUACAUCUGGUUUUCUGUCCAAGAAAUUAAUGUGCACUUACAUAAUGUGUUGGUGCUCUUAUGUUCAGGAGGGGGAAAUGAGUGCUCUGCCUUUUCAAGUGGAGAUUGCUUCAUCCAUAGCUUUUUGGGGGAGUGGAAAUAGAUUUAUUCUAUCUUUGCACGUUCGUCUGAUUCGGUGCUGAAAUCACUGGAGCAAAUUCAGCAGCCCCGGAUGCCUUCAGUUCAGGAUCCCGUUCUGAAUGAUGAUGGAAGAGAAGAAGCGUGUUACUUUGUGCUAAGUAAGAGAAGGGGACUGUAUUGAACACCGAGUUUGCUCGUUUGAUUUGUAAGCAUAUGAAAUAGCCUGCCACAUUCUUCAACUAAGCACGUAAAUUACUUGAAUCGUGGUUGUGUGUUCUGUGUUUGCUGUUACCAUUGGAAGCAGUUUUAUCAGGCUUCAGUCCCUGUGGUACUCGAGAAAGUUGUAAGAAUGCAAAGCUAUCUGAAGGUCAUUUGCAAUCUUAACAGCAGAAAUUACUAGCUGCUGUCAGCUACUAUAAUGGUGUUGAUAUGUGGCGUAAUAGUUUUACAGUGAAAUGGGAGAUGUAUUGAAGGUAUCUGAAACAGAAGCAGAAAACGUGGCUUUGGUGUGCAGGCAGGAGGAUAUUUCAGUGUCAGCUCUGAACACGAUCCCCAUAUUACACUGAGACGCAACGACUCCUUAAUGAUGGAGGCUGCUGACAGUCAGACAGGCGCUUGGAAAUUCCUCUUCACCAAGUGUUUUGGAGGCAGCUGGCAGACUUCCAGAAGUGUUCUGCUGGAGCUGCACAGCAGGCACACUGAACUAGCCUUGGUUGUGUGCCAGUUCACUACGUGGCAGUGGAUCAGGAUUCUCCAGAGAGGCUCUGCAGUCUCCAUCCCUGGGAGACCUUCAAGAGCAGAGUGGUUGGUCCUCAGCUGUGAUCUCAUAGCUGACCUGGGCUAAGCGGGAGGUUGGAUUGGAUGACCUUGUGAGGUCCUUUCCAGCCACGGUUCUCCUGUGAUAACCUCCUGAGUAGGCUCUGCUUUACAUGGGAGGUGGGAGGAAUUUAUAAACCAUAAUGUUAGUUUAAUUUUUUCUUUUCACAGUGGGUUUGCCUUUUUGAAGUAUCCCACUAGGAAUUCUGCAUCUUGGCUCAGUCGUGGCUUGGAGAAUAACCGAGUGUUUCAGGUCAUUUCCCAGUGAGGGAAUACAGUGGGUUCCUGAACAAGGCGGGUAAAGGCAGCUGCUCCACCAUAGCCUUGCACUGCCUGCUUGGUGUUGUUUAGCAUAAGGCAUAACAGCCAGGGAGAAUUUCAUAAUUUAUUUUUUGAUGGCUCGUGCCAUAGUCAAAACAGAUGACAUGUCUGCUAAUCCUGCAUCCAGAUUGCUUUGGUGGGUUGGGGUGGGCAUUGCAUCAUUUUGUUCUCCUAAACUCUUGUGUUUUUUGUCGUUUAGGAUCUGCCAGAACAGCAGUGCCCUGGAAAUAUCUGACUGCACAAAAAUCAAAAGGAAAUUGGAGAUUGGCUUUGUUAAGGACACCUCCUGUUCUAUGGCACUGUCACUCAAUCGCUGUGUGGGAGUGCAUACAUUGUCUACAGGUGGUAGUGAGGAGGAGUCAAAGCUUCAGAGAGAGCUGCAGGAACAGCUGGACCUCAUAAGAGCUGCAAAAGAAGAUUCCCCAGCUAAAACAUGUCCAUGGAGAGCCAUAUGUGCAUAGCUGUUAGGAUUUUGGAAUCAGUGUGGUGGAAUGACAGGGAGAUGAUGGGAAAGUGAUUUCUUGAAACUUCAGCAUAUGCUUUUCAUUUGUGUGAGCUGGCACUGCCACGAGCCAGAGGAGGCUUGCAGCAAGCGGGGCCAUGCGGGACUGGCACCUGCUCGGCUGUGCUCGGGUGACUUCUGGACCUUCUGAAAUGAAGACGGACAUUGACUAACAUUUGUUCAAGGCCAUCUAUGUAAAACAUAUCCGAAAGGUCUUUGCGAAGCAAAGCCGCUUGCACAAAAAGGCAGAACGUCAGCGACAGGAUGACAAUUGGGUUUGGAUACAGGCUGCCAAUUAAUCAGCAAACUGGUCAUUAAUUCGAGAAGCGGCGAUUGUCCGAGGAUGAAAAAUCACAGUGCAUUGGAGAG